rnacentral:rRNA from 1 species
AUUGAACGCUGGCGGCAUGCCUUACACAUGCAAGUCGAACGGUAACAGGUCUUCGGAUGCUGACGAGUGGCGGACGGGUGCGUAAUACAUCGGAACGUGCCCGAUCGUGGGGGAUAACGAAGCGCAAGCUUUGCUAAUACCGCAUAAGAUCUACGGAUGAAAGCAGGGGACCGCAAGGCCUUGCGCGAACGGAGCGGCCGCUGGCAGAUUAGGUAGUUGGUGGGAUAAAAGCUUACCAAGCCGACGAUCUGUAGCUGAUCUGAGAGGACGACCAGCCACACUGGGACUGAGACACGGUCCAGACUCCUACGGGAGGCAGCAGUGGGGAAUUUUGGACAAUGGGCGAAAGCCUGAUCCAGCCAUGCCGCGUGCAGGAUGAAGGCCUUCGGGUUGUAAACUGCUUUUGUACGGAACGAAAAGACUCUGGUUAAUACCUGGGGUCCAUGACGGUACCGUAAGAAUAAGCACCGGCUAACUACGUG